CUGGCCCUGAAUCAAGGCCAGCAACUUCCUGAUACUGUUGGAUUCAAGCAGGAGCCUAAAGGUAUGUCUUUCUAUGGUCUGUUGGCCAUUUCCAAACUUGGGCAGUGAAAUGGUCAAUUCACUAGAAAGAAACAGUG
ensembl:snoRNA small nucleolar RNA SNORA2/SNORA34 family